AGAACCUGAAACCCUGCACUUACAAGCUGUGGAAGCACAUUUCUUGUGUGACCGCGUACUUUUUGUAGACCGGGCCAACGAGUUACGUUAAGUAGCAAGGUUAAGCACUUAAGGUGCGGAGCCGUAGCGAAAGCGAGUUUUAACUGAGCGUUCAGUUAUUUGACGUAGACCCGAAACCGGGCGACCUACCCAUGAGCAGGAUGAAGCGAAAGUAAAAUUUCGUGGAGGUCCGAACCCACGAGCGUUGAAAAGCUCGGGGAUG
rnacentral:rRNA from 1 species